rnacentral:lncRNA from 1 species
AUGUUUAAUCGCUUACCUCUGGGUAAAACGAUGUUUAAAGGCCUACCUCUGGGUAAAACCAUGUUUAAAGGCCUACCUCUGGGUAAAAUGAUGUUUAAAGGCCUACCUCUUGGUAAAACAAUGUUUAAACGCCUACCUCUGGGUAAAACGAUGUUUAAAGGCCUACCUCUUGGUAAAACAAUGUUUAUACGCCUACCUCUUGGUAAAACAAUGUUUAAAGGCCUACCUCUUGGUAAAACAAUGUUUAAAGGCCUACCUCUUAGUAAAACAAUGUUUAAAGGCCUACCUCUUAGUAAAACCAUGUUUAAAGGCCUACCUCUUAGUAAAACAAUGUUUAAAGGCCUACCUCUUAGUAAAACAAUGUUUAAAGGCCUACCUCUUAGUAAAACCAUGUUUAAAGGCCUACCUCUUAGUAAAACAAUGUUUAAAGGCCUACCUCUUAGUAAAACAAUGUUUAAAGGCCUACCUCUUGGUAAAACAAUGUUUAAAGGCCUACCUCUUGGUAAAACAAUGUUUAAAGGCCUACCUCUUGGUAAAACAAUGUUUAAAGGCCUACCUCUUGGUAAAACGAUGUUUAAAGGCCUACCUCUUGGUAAAACGAUGUUUAAAGGCCUAACUCUUGGUAAAACAAUGUUUAAAGGCCUACCUCUUAGUAAAACAAUGUUUAAAGGCCUACCUCUUGGUAAAACAAUGUUUAAAGGCCUACCUCUUGGUAAAACAAUGUUUAAAGGCCUACCUCUGGGUAAAACCAUGUUUAAAGGCCUACCUCUUAGUAAAACCAUGUUUAAAGGCCUACCUCUUAGUAAAACCAUGUUUAAAGGCCUACCUCUUGGUAAAACAAUGUUUAAAGGCCUACCUCUUGGUAAAACAAUGUUUAAAGGCCUACCUCUUGGUAAAACCAUGUUUAAAGGCCUACCUCUUGGUAAAACAAUGUUUAAAGGCCUACCUCUUGGUAAAACAAUGUUUAAAGGCCUACCUCUUAGUAAAACUUACAGUAUGUCUAAUUAUUUACAGAUUAUCUUUGUGAGCCCAUAUGUCCAGUUUCUCUGUCAAAGAGCUUCAUUGGUAGAUAAAGGCAGUAAUGCUAAAGUGAUGCCACUUUAUCUCCAUGUUGUUGAGUAA